rnacentral:rRNA from 1 species
GGAUCAUUGUCGAAAUCGAACGGAAGAACGACCCGCGAAUCGUCAUUGCGUAGCAGACAGAGCCCGUGAGCACCUAACGCUCAUGGGUCUCGCGUCGCGUCGGCGCGGGUGUACUCGAGACCCGCGUCGUACCGGCGGACAAACAACGUCAGCACGGAUCGUGCCAAGGAGCUGCAUGGAGAGAAUCGUCGUCCCCCGCCUUUGAUAGUCCUCGACGCGGGACGGGGGAUGUACGCAAUCUCUACUCAAAAGUCUAAACGACUCUCGGCAACGGAUAUCUCGGCUCUUGCAUCGAUGAAGAACGUAGCGAAAUGCGAUACUUGGUGUGAAUUGCAGAAUCCCGUGAACCAUCAAUUCUUUGAACGCAAGUUGCGCCCGAAGCCAUUCGGCCGAGGGCACGCCUGCCUGGGCGUCGUGAAUCCCCUUGCCCCUAGGCACCCGCACGAGCAUCGGCGGGGACAUAUCCUCGGGCGCAGAAUAUGGUCUCCCGUGGGAUCGGCAUGCACGGCAUGACGAGGCGCGGUUGGCCGAAAAUCGAGCAUGGCGGUGACGGGCACCACGGCGUUCGGUGGAUCGAAUGAGAUUGGCUGCGUCGUGGGCUCGGCAUGCGGCGGGCUCCGGACUUUGAAUAUCCCCGAGUGCGAUCCCAGGUCAGGCGGGGCUACCCGCUGAGUUUAAGCAUAUCAAUAAGCGGAGGAAAAGAAACUAACGAGGAUUCCCUUAGUAGCGGC